rnacentral:rRNA from 1 species
UUAUUUAAUUUAAAUUAAUGGAUUAGUGAAAUAAUUUUUUUUGUUAACUGUAAGGGUAGAAGUAUAAAAGAAUAGAAGAUUAAAUAAUUUUACCUUUUGUAUCAGGGUUAAUUUAAAUAUAUAUUUUAGAAUUUUUUCUCGAAUAAAAAAUAUUUAUAUUACUUAAUUUUAUUUGUGUAAAAAAAUAAGUUAAAAGUAAUGUGGGUUUGAUAUAAAUUUAGAUUUUUUAUAUCUAGUUGCUUUAUUUUUGAUUUAAUCAAUUGAAUUUAUUUUGUUUAAUUUUUAUAUUUGUGCAGGGAUAAUCUUGUAUAUAAUUUUUUAGGUAAAGGUUUCAUUUGUGUAGUAUACUUAAUAUUAGUAAUCAUUUUAAUUUGUAGUAAUUAAUUAAAUUAAUUUAAUAUUUUAUUAGAUAGCUUUAAGGGGAGGUAAAGUUGUUUAAUUGAAUAAUAAAAUUGAAAUAAUUAUGAUUAAAUUAGUAAAUUAAAAAAAAUAAUAAUUAAGAAUUCGGCAAAUUUAAUUUUCGACUGUUUAUCAAAAACAUUUCUGGGAGAAAAAAUAUUUUUGGUAUGUCCUGCUCAAUGCUGAUGUAAAUAGCUGCAGUAUACUGACUGUACAAAGGUAGCAUAAUCAUUAGUUCUUUAAUUGGGGGCUGGUAUGAAAGGAUGAACGUAAUAUUAACUUUUUUAUUGUUAUGAAAUUUUAAUUUGGAAUUUAAGUUAAAAUACUUAAAUAAAUAAAAGGGACGAGAAGACCCUAUAGAAUUUAAAAAUUAAAUUGUAAAAUAAUUUUUUGGUUGGGGUGACAUAAAAUUAACUUUUUUUUGGUUAAUCAUUGAUAGAUGAUUGGAUGAUCCUGAAAAAUUUAGAGAAUAAGAUAAAAUUACCUUAGGGAUAACAGCAUAAUAUUUUUUUGAAGAUCAUAUUUAUGGAAAUGUUUAUGACCUCGAUGUUGAAUUAAGUUUACAUUUGAAUGUAGAGAUUUAAGUGUUAAGUCUGUUCGACUUUAAUUUUUACAUGAUUUGAGUUCAGACCGGCGUGAGCCAGGUUGGUUUCUAUCUUUUUAUAAUUAUUUUGGUUUAGUACGAAAGGAUUAACUAAUUUUAUUUAUAUUAUGUAGUAAGUUAUUAAAAUAGACUU